UACGUAGGCAGCAAACGUUGUUCGGAGUUACUGGGCGUAAAGAGUGCGUAGGCGGUUCUCUAAGUUUGGUGUGAAAUCUCCCGGCUCAACUGGGAGGGUGCGCCGAAAACUGGAGGGCUUGAGUGUGGGAGAGGCAAGCGGAAUUCCUGGUGUAGCGGUGAAAUGCGUAGAUAUCAGGAGGAACACCUGUGGCGAAAGCGGCGCACUGGACCACUUCUGACGCUGAGGCGCGAAAGCUAGGGGAGCAAACAGG
rnacentral:rRNA from 1 species